rnacentral:misc_RNA from 1 species
CUUGCCCAUAUCGUUUCAGCAUUUGAUGUUAUAGCGCAAAUCAGCCCUAUUAAUCAUUGCAACUGCGUCAACGAGGUUUCGGAAAUUUUUGUUUGAGUGCAAAAUAUUCGUCAACGCUGCUGAAGUGCUUGCGCUUCCUGCUUUGUGCGUCUUCGUUUCCAACUUUUUCGAAAUUAUGAUGAUCCUUGUAAGAAGAACGAUGAAAGUUUACCAUCCCGGUAAAGGAACCGAAGUUGCUUUCUUGUUUCUGAAGGGCUGUGGCUUAGCAUCUUAAUAUCACAGUUAAUAAGGAUUCUAUAUUAAUGUAGAAAUUAAAAAAGUAAUCUGAAAGAAUCAAUACCUUAUAGGGGUACGAGCCAUAUGCCUGGCCUGCUUUGUCGUUCAAAAUUCUCGAAGGAUUUAUUGGUUAUUUUUUAUUCGUGCACUUCAGACGAAAAGAGCUUUCUCUUUUAAUAUAAUGAUGUAACAUCUUACAAGGAUACAGAUUUGUAAUGAAACUAUUUAUUUUUGACAAAUCAUGACUUAAAAUGCCAACAAAAGAAUGUAAAUGUACCAACACUGCCUAAUUUACGCCCUCAUAAAAUUUGGUCGUAUGAUCAAGCGUAAUAAACAUAAAAUUUUCUGCAAUCUUAAAACCAUGUUAAGUUGAACCAUUAUUCUAUUGAAAUUGUGCCAUAUUUCUGUUCAAAAUGAACCGUGUUUCUGUUCAAAUUGAACCAUGUUCCUGUUCAAGUUCAGCCAUGCUUCUGCUCAAGUAAAACCAUGUUCCUGUUCAAAUUGAAUCAUGUUUCUAUUCGAGUUGAAUCCUGUUUCAGUUCACGUUGAAACAUGUUUCUGUUCAAAUUGAACCAUACUACCACGUAAUUAAGAUUAAGAAGUAUUAAAUUGCCAGUUGUACCAAAGUGGAAAGAUAUCAGGAUUCAAAUAAAUGAUCUAAAAUUUC